UGCCAGACUCCUACGGGAGGCAGCAGUGGGGAAUAUUGCACAAUGGGGGAAACCCUGAUGCAGCAACGCCGCGUGAGUGAAGAAGUAUUUCGGUAUGUAAAGCUCUAUCAGCAGGGAAGAAAAUGACGGUACCUGAGUAAGAAGCCCCGGCUAACUACGUGCCAGCAGCCGCGGUAAUACGUAGGGGGCAAGCGUUAUCCGGAUUUACUGGGUGUAAAGGGAGCGUAGACGGCGAUACAAGUCUGAAGUGAAAGCCCGGGGCUCAACCCCGGGACUGCUUUGGAAACUGUGUUGCUGGAGUGCUGGAGAGGCAAGCGGAAUUCCUAGCGUAGCGGUGAAAUGCGUAGAUAUUAGGAAGAACACCAGUGGCGAAGGCGGCUUGCUGGACAGUAACUGACGUUGAGGCUCGAAAGCGUGGGGAGCAAACAGGAUUAGAUACCCCAGUA
rnacentral:rRNA from 1 species